GAUGAAGAACGUAGCGAAAUGCGAUAAGUAAUGUGAAUUGCAGAAUUCAGUGAAUCAUCGAAUCUUUGAACGCACAUUGCGCUCGCUAGUAUUCUGGCGGGCAUGCCUGUCCGAGCGUCAUUUCAACCCUCAAGCCCCCGGGCUUGGUGUUGGGGAUCGGCGAGCCUCCGCGCCCGCCGUCCCCUAAAUCUAGUGGCGGUCUCGCUGUAGCUUCCUCUGCGUAGUAGCACACCUCGCACUGGGAAACAGCGCGGCCACGCCGUUAAACCCCCAACUUCUGAACGUUUGACCUCGGAUCAGGUAGGAAUACCCGCUGAACUAAAGCAUAUCAAUAAGCGGAGGA
rnacentral:misc_RNA from 1 species